rnacentral:rRNA from 1 species
UUUCUUGAUUAGUGGCGCACGGGUGAGUAAUGCAUAGAUAAUGUGCCCCUUAGUUCGGGAUAGCCACUGGAAACGGUGAUUAAUACCGGAUACUCCUUCUUGUUAUAAGACAAGUCGGGAAAGUUUUUCGCUAAGGGAUCAGUCUAUGUUCCAUCAGCUUGUUGGUGAGGUAAUGGCUCACCAAGGCUAUGACGGAUAUCUGGUUUGAGAGGAUGAUCAGACACACUGGAACUGAGACACGGUCCAGACUCCUACGGGAGGCAGCAGUGAGGAAUAUUGCACAAUGGAGGAAACUCUGAUGCAGCAACGCCGCGUGGAGGAUGACGCAUUUCGGUGUGUAAACUCCUUUUAUUAGGGAAGAUAAUGACGGUACCUAAUGAAUAAGCACCGGCUAACUCCGUGCCAGCAGCCGCGGUAAUACGGAGGCUGCAAGCGUUACUCGGAAUCACUGGGCGUAAAGGGUGCGUAGGCUGGCUUUUAAGUCAGAUGUGAAAUCCAAUGGCUCAACCAUUGAACUGCAUUUGAAACUGAAAGCCUAGAGUUCAGAAGGGGCAGAUGGAAUUAGUGGUGUAGGGGUAAAAUCCGUAGAUAUCACUAGGAAUAUCAAAAGCGAAGGCGAUCUGCUGGGAUGA